rnacentral:lncRNA from 1 species
GCCAGCCUUUGAGAAUCACUCUUCACCUUAAGGAUAGGUGGUUGAAGCAUAAAUGGCAAGUGUGUCUUUCUCUGGAAAAGCCUUUGGUUUAGGCUGUCACUUCUGCAGGCUAUUACUGAGUGAGCCCUUCACUUCAUAACACACUAACGAAGUCCCCAGAUUCACUGGCCUAGUCACUGCUUCAGUGUUUAUGUCAUUAAUUGAACUAAUUGCUCCCUGUAACAGCUAGGUGGAGAAUUCCCUUCCUCCAGAAAAUACCUCUUUUCUAGUUCUUAGAAAAAUCCUAAACGACAAAGCUGUCUCCAUAAGACAUCAUGUUUUGUUUGAAACGACAAUUUGAAAUAAGGGCAUGGAAACCACUGAAUGACCUGGUUCUUAAAUGGGUUCAUCCUCAGUGCUGUGCAGGUCCGCUGACAGUUAAUUCAUUUCAGACUUCUAUUAUACCACUAUAGUGAGCGACUACUAUGUGCAAACUACUGUGCCUGUUAUUUGU